CUGGUUUACGACAAAAUAUGAUUGAUUCUUGAUAUAUUAGUUAUAUGAAUGCCAUCAUUUAACCCAUAUAAUAAUGUUUGUUUGGUGGUAUGAUGAAAAUGACAUAUGAAAGGGUAUUCAGUGGAGUAAUCAGUUUUAAAAAUAUAUUUAAUAACUGUUAAUUAGUUCCAGUUGAUCCUUCACAAUAUAGUUUGGAAAUUGGAAAUGAUUUGCUUUUAAUUAUUACCAGGUCUGGCAUACAUGCUGAUUUCUUUUUGUGACAUUCAUGCUUGAAUCAGCUUUGUAUCAACCAACAAAAUACUGCAGUUAUCAUGAAAUUUUAAGUUUCUUGUUGAAAGUCUCUAAUUUAAUUUCUAGGUUUUGGUGAAUGUUGUCCAUGUUGGCGUCGGGCCACUUUCUCAAUCUGAUGUGGACUUAGCACAAGCUUGCGGUGCUUGCAUAGUUGGAUUCAAUGUCAAAAGUCCUCCUACUGCUCUAAGUCAGGCAGCAACUCGUGCCAGUAUCAAGAUAAUCCUGCACCGUGUAAUUUACCACCUUUUGGAGGACAUAGGCAAUUUGAUAAUAGAGAAGGCCCCUGGAACUUCUGAAACCCAGGUGGCUGGACAGGCAGAAGUGCUUAACAUAUUUGAAAUCAAAGGGAGCAAGUCGAAGGGUCCUGAUGUGAAGAUAGCUGGUUGUCGUGUUAUUGAUGGUUUUGUGACAAGAUCAGCAACCAUGAGGCUUCUGAGGAGUGGAGAAGUGGUGUUUGAAGGACAUUGUACGUCUCUUAAGCGGGAGAAGCAGGAUGUGGAUACUGUGAAAAAGGGAAGUGAGUGUGGACUAGUAAUUAGCAAUUGGUAUGAUUUCCAAGUUGGAGAUGUUAUUCAGUGCUUAGAACAAGUUGUAAGGAAGCCCAAGUUCAUUAAGUCAGAGAGUGGUGCUGUUCGAAUUGAAUGUUGAUCAAGUUAUUUCAGAAUUCAUCAAAACCCAUUUUUGUGAGACAUUACACACAGCCAGCAAAACGCAUAUGGAAGUUAGAGUAAUUAUUCUUUGUUGUACCAAAAGAAAAUGUAAUUAGAUUUGAGGCACAAUUUGAAAGGACUAAUCUACUAGGUUUUUUUGACAUGUGCUUGGCACGUAUAAUAGUCUGAUUUUAGACCAUAAGAUGUACCCAUUUUCAUCUCAUAGUUCCUUGAAUAGGAAUGCGUCAGCUUACCAUUUAAGCUCAAAGAAAUAUUUUUAUUUUCGUCGUGAGAAUUAUUGGAACCAAUAAAAGAAAGUAUAUUUGUUAACUUCAUUAAA